AGUGAACGCUGGCGGUAGGCCUAACACAUGCAAGUCGAACGGCAGCACAGUAAGAGCUUGCUCUUACGGGUGGCGAGUGGCGGACGGGUGAGGAAUACAUCGGAAUCUACUUUUUCGUGGGGGAUAACGUAGGGAAACUUACGCUAAUACCGCAUACGACCUACGGGUGAAAGCAGGGGAUCUUCGGACCUUGCGCGAUUGAAUGAGCCGAUGUCGGAUUAGCUAGUUGGCGGGGUAAAGGCCCACCAAGGCGACGAUCCGUAGCUGGUCUGAGAGGAUGAGCAGCCACACUGGAACUGAGACACGGUCCAGACUACGACGGGAGGCAGCAGUGGGGAAUAUUGGACAAUGGGCGCAAGCCUGAUCCAGCCAUACCGCGUGGGUGAAGAAGGCCUUCGGGUUGUAAAGCCCUUUUGUUGGGAAAGAAAAGCAGCAGGUUAAUACCCCGCUGUUCUGACGGUACCCAAAGAAUAAGCACCGGCUAACUUCGUG
rnacentral:rRNA from 1 species